CCAGACUCCUACGGGAGGCAGCAGUGAGGAAUAUUGGUCAAUGGGCGAGAGCCUGAACCAGCCAAGUCGCGUGAGGGAGUACUGCCCUAUGGGUUGUAAACCUCUUUUGUCGGGGAGCAAAAGCCGGACGUGUCCGGCUGUGAGAGUACCCGAAGAAAAAGCAUCGGCUAACUCCGUGCCAGCAGCCGCGGUAAUACGGAGGAUGCGAGCGUUAUCCGGAUUUAUUGGGUUUAAAGGGUGCGCAGGCGGAUUUUUAAGUCAGGGGUGAAAUCGUGGGGCUCAACCCCGGCGAGCCGUUGAAACUGGCGGGCUGGAGUUGGAGAGAAGUACGCGGAAUGCGUGGUGUAGCGGCGAAAUGCAUAGAUAUCACGCAGAACUCCGAUUGCGAAGGCAGCAUACCGGCGCGCAACUGACGCUCAUGCACGAAAGCGUGGGUAUCGAACAGGAUUAGAUACCCGAGUAA
rnacentral:rRNA from 1 species